rnacentral:rRNA from 1 species
AUUGAACGCUGGCGGCAUGCUUUACACAUGCAAGUCGAACGGCAGCACGGGAGCGAUCCUGGUGGCGAGUGGCGAACGGGUGAGUAAUGUAUCGGAACAUGCCCAGUCGUGGGGGAUAACGCAGCGAAAGUUGUGCUAAUACCGCAUACGAUCUAUGGAUGAAAGCGGGGGAUCGCAAGACCUCGCGCGAUUGGAGUGGCCGAUAUCAGAUAGGUAGUUGGUGGGGUAAAGGCCCACCAAGCCGACGAUCUGUAGCUGGUCUGAGAGGACGGCCAGCCACACUGGGACUGAGACACGGCCCAGACUCCUACGGGAGGCAGCAGUGGGGAAUUUUGGACAAUGGGCGCAAGCCUGAUUCAGCAAUGCCGCGUGCAGGAUGAAGGCCUUCGGGUUGUAAACUGCUUUUGUAUGGAACGAAAAGACUCUCUCUAAUAAAGGGGGUUGGUGACGGUACCAUGAGAAUAAGCACCGGCUAACUACGUGCCAGCCGCCGCCGUAA